UACAGAGGGUGCGAGCGUUAAUCGGAAUUACUGGGCGUAAAGCGCGCGUAGGCGGCUUUUCAAGUCGAUUGUGAAAUCCCCGGGCUUAACCUGGGAACUGCAGUCGAGACUGUCUAGCUAGAGUAUGGGAGAGGGAAGUGGAAUUUCAGGUGUAGCGGUGAAAUGCGUAGAUAUCUGAAGGAACAUCAGUGGCGAAAGCGACUUCCUGGACCAAUACUGACGCUCAGGUGCGAAAGCGUGGGGAGCAAACAGG
rnacentral:rRNA from 1 species